rnacentral:misc_RNA from 1 species
AACAUCGCGCACCUGCGGGAACCUGCGGAGGGAUCAUUACCGAGUUUACAACUCCCAAACCCCUGUGAACAUACCUAUACGUUGCCUCGGCGGAUCAGCCCGCGCCCUGUAAAAAGGGACGGCCCGCCCGAGGACCCUAAACUCUGUUUUUAGUGGAACUUCUGAGUAAAACAAACAAAUAAAUCAAAACUUUCAGCAACGGAUCU